AGUCUAUUCACGAAACCGAAGGCUUUAGCUUGUUUGCUGGUCUCUAAUAUUUAUGUUUUUCGAAUAUACGAUGCGGCGUUCCAUUUUUAAAAUGUGAUUCUAUGUAAUAUUCGAAUUCGAAAUUUAAAUUUUGACUCAGUGUAUAUUAGGAUAUAGAUUUGUUCGUGUAUACUUUUUGUGUUAGUGUGAUUUUACGAACUUUGAGGAUGAGUCUUCGGAGAGCCGACUCAUCUGCUACAGAUCGUGGCAGAGACAAAAAUAUUAGCCGCCUGAAUGGAUUCCUAAAUUUGAAAACACCUCUGAUUAGCACCAAGACAUUGGGGUAAGUUAAAUUUAAAAAUUUCCACACAAAAACACUGUCGUAUUUUAAUAUAGCUGGAUUCCUAUUCGACCUUAAUGUUAUUUUAUUAUUUUAAUAUUUACAUAUUCCAAGGAUAACAAUUAUCAAGCAGGAGAUUUUAAAUUAA
rnacentral:misc_RNA from 1 species